UCAAGCAGUCUCAAUCCUCCCAUCUGACGGUGGUCCGCACAUCUCAAACAACUCCCUCAAAGGAAUAUAGGGCAACAAGAUCUACCCCACACCCUCAAGUUCUGGGUAUAAUGAACAGAAAUCGAAAUAGCUAAGAUUUGAUCAGCAAGAAGUCUCCCAAAUAGAUGAAGAAUCUCUUGAGCUCUCCAGCCUCCUCCAUCAACAGCAAUCAAAUCAUAGGCAUACAAAUCACCACCCACCUUGGUACUGAUAAAAGUCGGCUAG
rnacentral:lncRNA from 1 species